GCCGGGGUAGAGCAGCGGCAGCUCGCCAGCCUCAAAGCAAAGAGGUCGCGGGUUCGAAUCCCGCCCCCGCA
rnacentral:tRNA from 1 species